rnacentral:rRNA from 1 species
AUGGUGCGGUGGUCGCGGCUAGAUGGCGCGGUGGUUGCGGGCUCGGCGACGCGCGCCGCGAUGCGGCGGGGGGAGGUCAGAGGGCGAGAGGUGAAGCCGGAGACUGGUGCGGUGGUUGCGGGCUCGGCGACGCGCGCCGCGAUGCGGCGGGGGGAGGUGGGAGGGCGAGAGGUGGCGCCGGAGACUGGUGCGCAUAGAUAUAAAUUGAUGGGUUCCGACAUACUCACUGAUGAAACGAUGAUAGACCACAGUGAAACACCACGAGAAGAGAAUACAGGAGACAUGGAUAUGGACUUUGGAGAUGCACGGAAAGAAUCCAUUGAGGGUUCAGAUGCGAUGUCGCUGAAAGGGGACGAAGAUUCACAACAUAAAAAUGUCAAAGAGGUGAUAAAUGCUUACAUAUAUUGCAUGCUUGCUCACGACCAUCUACAAGACAGGGCGGGUGAAAAGUUAUUCAUUCCGAUUAACAUGCCGGGCUACCAUUGGUAUCUAGCAGUUGCCAACGCCAAAAAACGAGAGAUCCAAGUAUUGGACUCACUUGGUGAGAAUGUCAAACGCAAUGACCUUGCUACUACGCGUAUCAUGUGGAUUGUUUAUGCUAAAUUAUAUGGAAUACUGGACACCACAUGGACUGUCAGACCAGUUUACGCAGAGCUUACUAAGUUAAAAGGAUGUCCCAUGUACCAUCAACCUCUCAACGAAGAAACUUUAGCUAAUUCUGAUCUUGAGAUCCUGGAUAAUCCAUCUGACGUGGUCGAAGAGAAACGUCCCGCCCCAAUCACUAUCAUUCCCGCGGACCAACGUGAAAUACUUGCCGGCCUCUGCAACUACAUCAUGUCGAUCAAUGAUGUUGGAUGUUUGGAGAAGGUAUGGGUCCGGAGCUCCACACCCGAUCCAAUGAGCUUAAGUCUUAAGAAACUUCAGUGCAUACUUAACAUGGAGCAGCCCAUGGACAAUGAUUGCUUCAACACCGCCGUGCUUAUGCUGGCAUGUGAUGAGGGAGUAUUGUUCACAGACCCUCCUAUACACUACAUGGAUCUACGAUUUUGUUCCAUGCUGCUAGAGUCAACACGAGGUCAGAAAUUUUGUGAGAAGGAAACUAUCCAGACGUUGGCAACAUUAUUUGAUAGCUGGCCUGGGAUGGAGACCGACAUCUCAUCUUGCAAUAAGAUUUAUCUUCCCUAUGCAUCCAUCGGCCGAUACAUCCUCUACAUCAUCGACAAAGAGGCACGUCGUCUAUAUAUUAUUGAUCCUAUUCAAUCAUCACAAUCGUCAGAGGAUAAAAACUUGAGGCAUUCACUGAAAUUAAAGAGUUUUUCAAGGAAUUUCAAAGAAGCACUCGAAAUAAAGCUGCCUGGGUGGAAUUUUGAUAUAUCUAAAUGGCAUCGUUUAUUUCUGGCCGGUGUUCCAACGAGUAUAGACGGGAAUGUGUCUGGCUAUUUUGUUUUUCAUUUUAUGCUCUGGUGGAACGGUAAAGAAUUGGUCAAGCCGGUUUGCGCGAAAGGGGGAUGCCCAGUUGGACAAAAAAGAGUCAACUACAACGGGUUUCCUGAUGCUGCUCCACCCCGCUUCCCUCUCCCCUUUGCUGUAAUUUCUAGACCGGAUUUCUGUUAUUGCAAACCAGGGUUGAGCGUUCUUUGCCUACAAAAGAGAUUGUACCACUACCUUGAGAUUUACAUUUCCCCCUUUCGAUGCCUCAUGCCACGCAGUCCAAGAUGGAAGAGACCUUUCCCAGGCCCAUAUACCAUGCAGUCAAACAGCUAA